rnacentral:rRNA from 1 species
GAUGAACGCUAGCGGCAGGCUUAAUACAUGCAAGUCAAGGGGUAGCAAUACAACCGGCGCACGGGUGAGUAACGCGUACACAACAUACCAUAUACUGGAGUAUAGCUUUGGGAAACUGAAGGUAAUCCUCCAUAACAUUGCGAGAGGGCAUCUGAUUGCAAUUAAAGUUCCGGCGGUAUAUGAUUGGUGUGCGUUUGAUUAGCUAGUUGGUAGGGUAACGGCCUACCAAGGCGACGAUCAAUAGCUGGCGUGAGAGCGCGACCAGCCACACUGGAACUGAGACACGGUCCAGACUCCUACGGGGGGCAGCAGUAGGGAAUAUUGGACAAUGGGCGAAAGCCUGAUCCAGCCAUGCCGCGUGAUAGAUGAAGGCCCUCUGGGUUGUAAAUAUCUUUUAUCUGGGAAGAAACUCCUCUAUUCUUAGAGGCCUGACGGUACCAGAGGAAUAAGCACCGGCUAACUCCGUGCCAGCAGCCGCGGUAA